rnacentral:rRNA from 1 species
GACGAACGCUGGCGGCGUGCUAAACACAUGCAAGUCGAACGGAAGGGCCCUGCUUUUGUGGGGUGCUCGAGUGGCGAACGGGUGAGUAACACGUGAGUAACCUGCCCUUGACUUUGGGAUAACUUCAGGAAACUGGGGCUAAUACCGGAUAGGAGCUCCUGCUGCAUGGUGGGGGUUGGAAAGUUUCGGCGGUUGGGGAUGGACUCGCGGCUUAUCAGCUUGUUGGUGGGGUAGUGGCUUACCAAGGCUUUGACGGGUAGCCGGCCUGAGAGGGUGACCGGCCACAUUGGGACUGAGAUACGGCCCAGACUCCUACGGGAGGCAGCAGUGGGGAAUAUUGCACAAUGGGCGGAAGCCUGAUGCAGCAACGCCGCGUGCGGGAUGACGGCCUUCGGGUUGUAAACCGCUUUCGCCUGUGACGAAGCGUGAGUGACGGUAAUGGGUAAAGAAGCACCGGCUAACUACGUG